AUACGGAGGGUGCGAGCGUUAAUCGGAAUUACUGGGCGUAAAGCGCGCGUAGGCGGCUUUGUAAGUCGGAUGUGAAAGCCCUGGGCUCAACCUGGGAAUGGCAUUCGAUACUGCAUAACUAGAGUAUGGUAGAGGGAAAUGGAAUUUCCGGUGUAGCGGUGAAAUGCGUAGAUAUCGGAAGGAACACCAGUGGCGAAGGCGACUUCCUGGGCCAAUACUGACGCCGAGGUGCGAAAGCGUGGGGAGCAAACAGGAUUAGAAGCCCGGGUAGUCC
rnacentral:rRNA from 1 species